UUGUGCUAGGCGGGGAGCUAGCGGUGCCCUCUACCCGAAAUCCGCUUUAUGCGGGGCUGAAUUCCCCCUCGAGGAUCUUGUCCCCGAUACGUGCCGCUUUGACCGGCCGCCGCGCAACAGACACUCACGAACCUUGUCAGGUCCGGAAGGAAGCAGCAAUAAGUGAUGGCGUCUGUGUCGCGGAUCGAUCCCGGUCAAUCUGUGGCGUGUUGAAAGGAAAAGAUUCGACCAGGGGGUGCACAA
rfam:Desulfococcus multivorans DSM 2059 ctg65, whole genome shotgun sequence.